rnacentral:rRNA from 1 species
GUUGUAUGGUUAAGUGACUAAGCGUACACGGUGGAUGCCUUGGCAGUCAGAGGCGAUGAAAGACGUAGUAACUUGCGAUAAGCCCAGAUUAGGUAGUAACAACCAUUUGAGUCUGGGAUUUCUGAAUGGGGAAACCCACGUGCAUAAGCACGUAUCCUUACCUGAAUACAUAGGGUAAGGAGGCGAACCGGGGGAACUGAAACAUCUAAGUACCCCGAGGAAAAGAAAUCAACCGAGAUUCCGAAAGUAGCGGCGAGCGAAAUUGGACUAGCCCUUAAGCUUUACACGCGUUAGACGAACGGUCUGGAAAGUCCGACGAUACAGGGUGAUAGUCCCGUAGUUGACGACGUGUGUUCAGUGAAAUCGAGUAGGGCGGGACACGUGAUAUCCUGUCUGAAUAUGGGGGGACCAUCCUCCAAGGCUAAAUACUACUGACUGACCGAUAGUGAACCAGUACCGUGAGGGAAAGGCGAAAAGAACCCCUGUGAGGGGAGUGAAAUAGAACCUGAAACCGUGUACGUACAAGCAGUAGGAGCAGGCUUUGUCCUGUGACUGCGUACCUUUUGUAUAAUGGGUCAGCGACUUAUAUUCAGUGGCAAGGUUAACCAUCUAGGGGAGCCGUAGGGAAACCGAGUCUUAACUGGGCGUUCAGUCUCUGGAUAUAGACCCGAAACCAGGUGAUCUAGCCAUGGGCAGGUUGAAGGUUGAGUAACAUCAACUGGAGGACCGAACCGACUAAUGUUGAAAAAUUAGCGGAUGACUUGUGGCUAGGGGUGAAAGGCCAAUCAAACCUGGAGAUAGCUGGUUCUCCCCGAAAGCUAUUUAGGUAGCGCCUCGGACGAAUACUACUGGGGGUAGAGCACUGUUAAGGCUAGGGGGUCAUCCCGACUUACCAACCCUUUGCAAACUCCGAAUACCAGUAAGUACUAUCCGGGAGACACACGGCGGGUGCUAACGUCCGUCGUGGAGAGGGAAACAACCCAGACCGCCAGCUAAGGUCCCAAAUUACUACUAAGUGGGAAACGAUGUGGGAAGGCUCAGACAGCCAGGAUGUUGGCUUAGAAGCAGCCAUCAUUUAAAGAAAGCGUAAUAGCUCACUGGUCGAGUCGGCCUGCGCGGAAGAUGUAACGGGGCUAAGUAGUAAACCGAAGCUGCGGCAAUAUACUUUUGUAUAUUGGGUAGGGGAGCGUUCUGUAAGCGGUUGAAGGUGUGUGGUAACGCAUGCUGGACGUAUCAGAAGUGCGAAUGCUGACAUGAGUAACGAUAAAGGGGGUGAAAAACCUCCUCGCCGGAAGACCAAGGGUUCCUGUCCAACGUUAAUCGGGGCAGGGUAAGUCGACCCCUAAGGCGAGGCCGAAAGGCGUAGUCGAUGGGAAACGGGUUAAUAUUCCCGUACUUCUUACAAUUGCGAUGGGGGGACGGAGAAGGCUAGGUGGGCCUGGCGACGGUUGUCCAGGUUCAAGUGCGUAGGCUUAAGAGUUAGGUAAAUCCGGCUCUUUUUAAGGCUGAGACACGACGUCGAGCACCUACGGGUGUGAAGUCAUUGAUGCCAUGCUUCCAGGAAAAGCCUCUAAGCUUCAGAUUGUAAGGAAUCGUACCCCAAACCGACACAGGUGGUCGGGUAGAGAAUACCAAGGCGCUUGAGAGAACUCGGGUGAAGGAACUAGGCAAAAUGGUACCGUAACUUCGGGAGAAGGUACGCUCUUGAUGGUGAAGUCCCUCGCGGAUGGAGCUGACGAGAGUCGCAGAUACCAGGUGGCUGCAACUGUUUAUUAAAAACACAGCACUGUGCAAAAUCGUAAGAUGACGUAUACGGUGUGACGCCUGCCCGGUGCCGGAAGGUUAAUUGAUGGGGUUAGACUUCGGUCGAAGCUCUUGAUCGAAGCCCCGGUAAACGGCGGCCGUAACUAUAACGGUCCUAAGGUAGCGAAAUUCCUUGUCGGGUAAGUUCCGACCUGCACGAAUGGCGUAAUGAUGGCCACGCUGUCUCCACCCGAGACUCAGUGAAAUUGAAAUCGCUGUGAAGAUGCAGUGUACCCGCGGCUAGACGGAAAGACCCCGUGAACCUUUACUACAGCUUGGCACUGAACAUUGACCCUACAUGUGUAGGAUAGGUGGGAGGCUUUGAAGCACGUACGCCAGUAUGUGUGGAGCCGUCCUUGAAAUACCACCCUUGUAGUGUUGAUGUUCUAACGUCGACCCCUUAUCGGGGUUGCGGACAGUGCCUGGUGGGUAGUUUGACUGGGGCGGUCUCCUCCCAAAGAGUAACGGAGGAGCACGAAGGUGGGCUAAUCACGGUUGGACAUCGUGAGGUUAGUGCAAUGGCAUAAGCCCGCUUGACUGCGAGAAUGACAAUUCGAGCAGGUGCGAAAGCAGGUCAUAGUGAUCCGGUGGUUCUGAAUGGAAGGGCCAUCGCUCAACGGAUAAAAGGUACUCCGGGGAUAACAGGCUGAUACCGCCCAAGAGUUCAUAUCGACGGCGGUGUUUGGCACCUCGAUGUCGGCUCAUCACAUCCUGGGGCUGAAGUCGGUCCCAAGGGUAUGGCUGUUCGCCAUUUAAAGUGGUACGCGAGCUGGGUUUAGAACGUCGUGAGACAGUUCGGUCCCUAUCUGCCGUGGGCGUUGGAAGAUUGAAGGGGGCUGCUCCUAGUACGAGAGGACCGGAGUGGACGAACCUCUGGUGUUCGGGUUGUGUCGCCAGACGCAUUGCCCGGUAGCUAAGUUCGGAAUCGAUAACCGCUGAAAGCAUCUAAGCGGGAAGCGAGCCCUGAGAUGAGUCUUCCCUGAUACUUUAAGUAUCCUAAAGGGUUGUCGGAGACUACGACGUUGAUAGGUCAGGUGUGUAAGUGCUGUGAGGCAUUGAGCUAACUGAUACUAAUUGCCCGUGAGGCUUAACCAUACAACACCCAAGGGGUUU